UACGAAGGGGGCUAGCGUUGUUCGGAAUUACUGGGCGUAAAGCGCGUGUAGGCGGGGCUUUAAGUCAGGGGGGAAAUGCCAAGGCUCAACCUUGGAACUGCCUUUGAUACUGGAGACCUUGAGUCCGGGAGAGGUGAGUGGAAUUGCGAGUGUAGAGGUGAAAUUCGUAGAUAUUCGCAAGAACACCAGUGGCGAAGGCGGCUCACUGGCCCGGAACUGACGCUGAGAUGCGAAAGCGUGGGGAGCGAACAGG
rnacentral:rRNA from 1 species